ACCGUUGUGGAGCUUGUCUCUUCAGUGUCCGGCUAGAUGCAUUCAUUAGCUUGGGCAGAGGGUGAUAUUUGGUUUGUGCUUGUGUUGCUACCUGUUGGGGAAACAACGCCGUCUUGUGACGGCAUAUCAUGUUGCCUUUGAUUGUGAUUCUGAGAAAGUUGCGUGGGCAUUUGAAACAUCGGCUUUGCUCGAGAGCGAUUGAUGGGUAUCGACUCGUCUGCAGCUCGCCUCGUAAUAUAUAGCUGCUCUCGUGGAUUCCGUGACUAUGUGGGUCUUUGUGGUCCUUUCGGUCUGCAUUUGACCUUGUAGUUCCUCGUAACAGGUCAUUGUGCGGUAAGCUUUGCGUCGCUGUUCUGCUCUUGACUGCGCUGGUCGGAGCAUGGCGGGGGACGCAGAUGGGGGCUUACGUGCAGUGCUGUACGUGUGAAGUUCUAUGGAUUAUUAGUGAUUGCCGGCGUGUGCGUGCGUGACGGUAUAACCUAUCCUGGUGUGCCUCCGCAGCUCGCAGGCUCACAAUUUUGUCGUGCUACCUGGUUGAUCCUGCCAGUAGUCU
rnacentral:misc_RNA from 1 species